rnacentral:rRNA from 1 species
GACGAACGCUGGCGGCGUGCUUAACACAUGCAAGUCGAGCGGUAAGGCCCUUUCGGGGGUACGACGAGCGGCGAACGGGUGAGUAACACGUGGGUGACCUGCCCUCCAGCUCUGGGAUAAGCCUGGGAAACCGGGUCUAAUACUGGAUAUGACUCCAUGACGCAUGUUGUGGGGUGGAAAGCCUUGUGCGGCUGAGGAUGGGCCCGCGGCCUAUCAGCUUGUUGGUGGGGUGAGGCCUACCAAGGCGACGACGGGUAGCCGGCCUGAGAGGGCGACCGGCCACACUGGGACUGAGACACGGCCCAGACUCCUACGGGAGGCAGCAGUGGGGAAUAUUGGACAAUGGGCGCAAGCCUGAUCCAGCCAUGCCGCGUGAGUGAUGAAGGCCUUAGGGUUGUAAAGCUCUUUUGCCGGGACGAUAAUGACGGUACCCGGAGAAUAAGUCCCGGCUAACUUCGUGCCA